AAUAUAUAUUUUCAGAGGUAUACCGGUACCAGUACGUAAAGGCAAUUCCCCAACUGCAACCACCCCGAGGACCGGCGCCACCGCCCGGACAAACACCGCCAAUAAGAAACCGCCUCAACCCGCUAACCGAGUAAUACCUGAGCCAGCUGCGAAGAAACUGAACCCGACGAGGCCGCGCCUCACAACCGAUGCCUUUGCUAAAUACAACACAAAUGCUAAGAAAUCUCCCACGUCGCGCGUGGACCAGGCGUGGGGCGGCGCGGGCGGGGCAG